rnacentral:rRNA from 1 species
UAGGGAAUCUUCCACAAUGGACGAAAGUCUGAUGGAGCAACGCCGCGUGAGUGAAGAAGGGUUUCGGCUCGUAAAACUCUGUUGUUAAAGAAGAACAUAUCUGAGAGUAACUGUUCAGGUAUUGACGGUAUUUAACCAGAAAGCCACGGCUAGCUACGUGCCUG